AGUGGCAGCUUCCACAUCUUAUUGACAGGUUUAGUGAAGAGGCAAUUGAUGAAGAGAGCUUUGGCUACCUUGAUCUUCCAACCAUCGCCACCUUAAUUCCCAGAAUAGGCGACAGGCUCAAGUUCAUUAAAAAACAUAAUGAAUUUGUUGGGCAAAUGGUGUGCUCACAAGCCACACCCCCAGGACCCCAAUUGCCACCUUCAUCCAAUGACCUCCAAGAAAUGACUGCACCUGCACCCACAGAGAUGACUGCAAAUUCAACCCCUGAGAUGAUUGCACCUCCAAGCACAAUUGUGCUUCAGACAGUUCCAACAUUUGAUAUCCGCACUAUCCUUUCAGACGUUGUUGAGGGCAGGGCCAUUGUUCAAAGCCUGGACACGGACCAGUUGAUAACAAUUAAACAGAGGCGUGCCAUGGU